AUUGAACGCUGGCGGCAUGCCUUACACAUGCAAGUCGAACGGUAACGCGGGGCAACCUGGCGACGAGUGGCGAACGGGUGAGUAACACAUCGGAACGUGCCCAGUAGUGGGGGAUAGCCCGGCGAAAGCCGGAUUAAUACCGCAUACGACCUAAGGGUGAAAGCAGGGGAUCGCAAGACCUUGCGCUAUUGGAGCGGCCGAUGUCAGAUUAGGUAGUUGGUGGGGUAAAAGCCUACCAAGCCGACGAUCUGUAGCUGGUCUGAGAGGACGACCAGCCACACUGGGACUGAGACACGGCCCAGACUCCUACGGGAGGCAGCAGUGGGGAAUUUUGGACAAUGGGCGCAAGCCUGAUCCAGCCAUGCCGCGUGCGGGAAGAAGGCCUCGGUUGUAACGCUUUGUCAGGAAGAAACGGU
rnacentral:rRNA from 1 species